UUCGCAAUGCCCGAAAGGGUGACGAAGCGACGCCGCGUGUGGGAAGAAGGCCUUCGGGUUGUAAACCACUGUCGGGAGUUAGGAAAUGUAAGGGUGUUAAUAGUGUCUUUGUUUGACUAAGGCUCCGGAGGAAGCCACGGCUAACUCUGUGCCAGCAGCCGCGGUAAUACAGAGGCGGCAAGCGUUGUUCGGGAUUAUUGGGCGUAAAGAGCACGUAGGCGGCUAUGUAAGUCGGUUGUGAAAGCCUUCCGCUCAACGGGAGAACAGCAUCCGAUACUGCAUGGCUUGAGUGCGGGAGGGGAGAGUGGAACUUCUGGUGGAGCGGUGAAAUGCGUAGAUAUCAGAAGGAACGCCGGCGGCGAAAGCGGCUCUCUGGCCCAUAACUGACGCUGAGUGUGCGAAAGCUAGGGGAGCAAACGGGAUUAGAUACCCCGGUAGUCCUAGCCGUAAAC
rnacentral:rRNA from 1 species